rnacentral:rRNA from 1 species
UACAGAGGCCUCGAGCGUUAGGCGGAAUCACUGGGCUUAAAGCGUGUGUAGGUGGAUGCCUAAGUGCCUUGUGAAAUCCCACGGCUUAACCGUGGAAUUGCUGGGCAUACUGGGUGUCUUGAGCCACUCAGGGGCUACCGGAACAAAUGGUGGAGCGGUGAAAUGCGCAGAUAUCGGGAAGAACACCUAUGGCGAAGGCAGCUCUCUGGGACGGUACUGACGCUGAGACGCGAAAGCGUGGGGAGCGAACAGG